rnacentral:lncRNA from 1 species
GAGUCAUGUCAAGGUGAGUUCAGGUCUCCAUCCAUCAUUCUUAACCUUUCUUGCAAGUUGGCUGAUGAAGACAAGGAUCUCAUGAUUUCCACUAUGACGAUUUCCCAGGCGCAGUCACUGUAUUCCUUCUCUUUCAGGUAGACAUGGAUGCCCUGGAAGUACUUCUUCACGGCCAGUGUGGGGCCCAUCCUUCCCAGGGCAGAGUCUUCCUCUCCUGUCACCGGGCCCAGGCAGGCGUCCAGGUCAUCCAGCUGCUGAUGGAGUCCAUGCGGAGCUGCUCCAGGAGGGUGGUGUCCCAGGCAGCAGAGGAGCGCUCUGUGUGGAAGAGGUUGAAGGUCUGCUGGAGCAUCUCGUGGAGCACAGAGAUGGCCUGGGCCUCCUGGAGCUGGCCGCCCUCCACCAUCUCCUGGGGGAAAGCGAAGUGUUUUCUGUCCUGCAGACAGAAGCGAGGGGAGAGUCUCCUCAUUUGGCCCAGGAACCUGAGGUUCUGCCUGCCAACCAGCACAUGGUUCUGAGACAGGUCACAGCCCAGGGAUCCUCCAGAGCUGUAGCUGACCAGCACCAGGGCCAUCAGUAGAGAGAGCACGAAGGCCAUGGGGAAGAUGAGGCUGCUGCUGGGCUGGCUGAGAUGGCGUCUGGUGGAACCCUGAGGUAGGUUCUCUGAUGCCAUGUUUUCUAAGCAAGGCCAUUAAAUAGAGAACACAGCAAUUUUCAUUUUCUAGUCAUUUCUAUACACUUUUACUUCCUUUUUUGAUUUUCAUUUAUUUAUUCUGAAUAUGGUCAAAGAAAUUGUCAUCAGUCUAAACCCUUAAUUUUAUCUAUUUCCCAAUAACUUC